AUUACGUAAUUUUUUAGUGGACGGUGAAUUUUUGUUACACUUUCCGUUUACUUUAUUUGCAUAUCUGUGGAACGGGUAUCAAUAUGUUGGCGCGCUUUUUUUUUGUAGCUAUGUUGCUCCUUUGCGCGAUGUUUCAAGUCGGUAAUCAGCAGCAGAUAUCGCUGGGCGACUUUGGUCAGAAAAUUCAAGACGAAAUACAAAAGAUCGCCAUUGCUGGACAGAAUAUUUUUCAGAAAUUAUCAAACGGAUCUUUUCUCACCAACUUCCAAAGCUAAAAUGGAAGUUUUGGUCGCAGUAGAAGUUUCAACGUAGUUCAAGUACAUCCAGUGGAACCAGCAAAACUGAACUCCUAUUCGGUAUUAAUAUUAAUAAAAUAAAUGCGAAAAUGA